GAUGAACGCUGGCGGCGUGCCUAAUACAUGCAAGUCGAGCGAACAGAUGAGGAGCUUGCUCCUCUGACGUUAGCGGCGGACGGGUGAGUAACACGUGGAUAACCUACCUAUAAGACUGGGACAACUUCGGGGAACCGGAGCUAAUACCGGAUAAUUUAUUGAACCGCAUGGUUCAAUAGUGAAAGACGGUUUUGCUGUCACUUAUAGAUGGAUCCGCGCCGCAUUAGCUAGUUGGUAAGGUAACGGCUUACCAAGGCAACGAUGCGUAGCCGACCUGAGAGGGUGAUCGGCCACACUGGAACUGAGACACGGUCCAGACUCCUACGGGAGGCAGCAGUAGGGAAUCUUCCGCAAUGGGCGAAAGCCUGACGGAGCAACGCCGCGUGAGUGAUGAAGGUCUUCGGAUCGUAAAACUCUGUUAUUAGGGAAGAACAAAUGUGUAAGUAACUAUGCACGUCUUGACGGUACCUAAUCAGAAAGCCACGGCUAACUACGUG
rnacentral:rRNA from 1 species